rnacentral:rRNA from 1 species
UACAGAGGGGGCAAGCGUUGUUCGGAAUUACUGGGCGUAAAGGGCGCGUAGGCGGCCUUCUAAGUCAGACGUGAAAAUCCCCGGGCUCAACCCGGGAACUGCGUCUGAUACUGGAAGGCUUGAAUCCGGGAGAGGGAUGUGGAAUUCCAGGUGUAGCGGUGAAAUGCGCAGAUAUCAGGAAGAACACCUAUGGCGAAGGCAGCUCUCUGGGACGGUACUGACGCUGAGACGCGAAAGCGUGGGGAGCGAACAGG